CCGGCGCUUUGGCGGAGUGGUUAACGCGCGGGCCUGCUAAGCCCGUUCCUUCGGGAGCGCAGGUUCGAAUCCUGCAGGCGUCGC
rnacentral:tRNA from 1 species